GGUGCGUUGGUCUGAUUGCUUUUCAGCAUUAAAUCUGUAUUUUCUGCUGGGGCUGGAGAAUGUUGUUGAGGAUCUUCUAGAAAUUAUAAUAACCUGAACAUCAGCAGAGACCACCAGGAACGACAGCUGCCUCAGAGACAACGCUGCUUCUUGGAGAUGUGUUUGAUAGACAUUUACAGAUACAGCUAACACAGAGGUGCAGCAGUGCCGUUCCUGUUGUGAGACAAGGAUAUCAAGAUAAGUGUUUUCUAAGAGGUCAGUUGUCCAAAAUGAGCACUCACUGCCUCUGGCUGGCUGGUUGACCACUGAAGUCACUUGACUCAGGUUUUUGGCUGUGAAGGCCAGCGUGUGCAUAGCCAUCAGGCUGUGUGGGCAUUGGGGAUCCUUCCUGGGAACCCUUGGGCAGUGUCCUGGGCCCAGCAGGAGCAAAUGUGUACAGUACAGGUAUCUUUUACCUCUAAUCAAUCUACCUCUCUAUCUUCUGCAGAUAUUGACUAGCUCUAAGGGCAGGAGCUGUAAAAUAUUGGACAUGGGUUUGUUCCUGAGAGAACGUUAUGUCGUUACGCUGUCUUUAGACGAAGACUGAAGACAGUAAUCAAAAGAGCUAUUUUUAACCAUGGGCUGAUUUAUUUGUUUUCCUUGUACAGCUAUUGCACUCGAUGAUGGCUUGAUUAAUUCUGGGUGAUUUAUAUUUUUUCUCCACCUUCCUCCACACGACUCUUCCGACUGGCACAAAGUUGUGUUCCUGCAGGUGAAGCCUCUGGGCUCUUCUACAGCCCCAAGCAAAACAGCACUGGGCCUGUUGGUGAGGGCAGGGAUGUUGAGUUUGCAAAGAGGAUGCUAUGGGUGGAGAUUUGAAUGAAAAGAUACCAAAGUCAUUACUGUGGAGGAGGAGAAACUCAGCAAUCAAACUGGAGACAGAGCAUGGAAUAUUACACAAACUGACCCUCAAAACUCUAAGAUGUGGGUUUCCUUCCACACUCAAAGCAGUUUGCAAUGUUAUGGCUGUUUCCAGUUGUAACAGUUCGCUACCUUUGUUUUCACUGGUGUACAUUUAAAGCAAGUUUGGCAAGUUGCUCUGAAUUUACCCAGCUAUUGAGGACAGCUGAUUUCAUUUGAGCUGUACAAGACACAACCUUAUUUUGCUUUCUGUUGGAUUAUGGUAAGGUUGUCAUUCAAUGCCCAGAGCCAGUCAAAACAACACAGUUGUGCCAGGUAAGAAAUGCACCUGACAAACUGUCAUAAUGCCCAUUUCUUCUGCUCCUCACUUAACCAGCCCUGACCACUAGAGGAAGGCUGAGCAUUUUGGGUUUAUGUAUCUCAAGCUGUUAGUUUUAAGUCACAAUCAUGACAGCACCUUAAAUAACAGCAAUUAAUAUUUCUCUAAAAUAGUGCUUUUUUCCUCUUCAUUAACUGUCAGAAUAAUCAACAGGCUGAUGGACAAAAUGAUAAAGUAGGUGUCUAUUAAGAAAAGGAAAACCUGUUAUUAUUCUUGCAGUUUAAAUCCCCUAGAGCAGAAUUGGCUAUUGCUAUAGAAUCUGUGGAAUUAUCCUUGCUAUUUCAACUUGCCAAACCAACCUUUUAUCCUUUUAAAUGCAGGUCUUUAAAGUAACUUGCCAAAAUAAUCUCUUGGCACCACUGAGGAGCGGAUCCAUGCUAUGCUGCUCAUGUAACUUCCCUGCUCAUAGAAUCAUUCAUCCUAGAAAGAUUUUGACUGGGGACUCGUGCUUUUAACUCUUUUAGCUGCUUUUGAAAAUACUGCCUUGCUAUCUUGAGGGAAAUGGUCAUGCCAUAAUGUACCAUGACAAUGGUUGUUGUGGAGAGUGUAAAGAAACAUUUAAAUAGAAAUUACAGUUAGAAAUGAAGGCAUGUAAGGAGAAACCAAAUGAUAGGAUUUACCUUCCAAAUCUUAAGGGCCAAGAGAGUCAUUUGGCCCUUUUCUUGGAUAUAGCUCAGCAAAGGAAAGAAAUGCUGUCUCAUAUGAUCUUAAUUAUACGCUGUGGGUGCCAGCAGCUUUCAGGGUACGUGUGGAUUCUUGACUGAGGCUCAGCAUGUGAACUUUGUCACUAGAGGAGUAUGUCACACACAGAGCUGGGACAUGAGCCAUCAUUCACAAUUCAAACAAACCCCAAACCCUUCAGAGAUUGAAAAGAAAUGUUCAGUUAACCAUAAAAACUAUGGCAUGAUUUUCCAUACCCUAGUGCACUUUGGGAACAGAAAUACUUCAAGCUCCAAAAUCAGGCCCUUGUUGUGAGGCUUUUUGACUAGAUGGGAGCCGUCAGCUGUUCAAACCGUUGUACAAAAUCCCAAAAUCUGUCUCAACUUCCAGCAGUUAUUUUUCUAGACUGGCAUCACUAAUUCUAGGCUAUAGAUGCAAGCCCAUACUCUCCCUCCAAACCUCCCCCUCUCGUGUCUGGAGUGUCUUGGCAGAGGGUGACAACAGUCUGGAGAUUCAUGUCUUGCUAGGGGAUGGAGCUGACAGUGGAGCCAAGGGGCAGGUGCUGUGCACAGGAUGUUACUGGCUGCAAAGAAAGCGACUGUUCCCUGUCAAGUGUCAAUGAAAGGUGAAAGAGAUGAUGUUGGAAUAUUUACAUCUUGCAGAUAUUUAUGGUCCCUUCCAACUCAAACCAUUCAAGAUACGUGGCCUUUGGGCAAAGGGUAAAGGAAAGGACUGCAGGACUUCACCUGUCUGGUUAUAAGCCACUUGGUGGGUUGGGCAGCAACCCUCGAGCAGCUUCCAUUCUCCCACUUAGUGCCACCCAUGCUACAGCCAGAUGGCAGGCAGGUUGCACCCUCACGCACAGAACGUGCCUUAGCUUGUCUAACAAAUGGAACAUCGUUGUGAGGAUCAACUACUGUGUUUCAGUCCUUCACGUUGCCCCUGGAAGUGAAAUUAGGCUGACUUCAUGUUCCUACCUGAGCUGUGCCUGGGAAGAGGGCUCAGAGGGGUGUUUAUGUGCUCCUCUG